rnacentral:rRNA from 1 species
UACGUAGGGGGCAAGCGUUGUCCGGAAUCAUUGGGCGUAAAGCGCGCGUAGGCUGCCAGAUAAGUCCGGUGUGAAAGUCAAAGGCUCAACCUUUGAAUGCCGCUGGAAACUGUCUGGCUAGAGUCCGGAAGGGGCGAGUGGAACUCCUGGUGUAGCGGUGAAAUGCGCAGAUAUCAGGAGGAACACCAAUGGCGAAGGCAGCUCGCUGGGACGUGACUGACGCUGAGACGCGAAAGCGUGGGGAGCAAACAGG